rnacentral:rRNA from 2 species
ACAAGGUUUCCGUAGGUGAACCUGCGGAAGGAUCAUUAUUGAAUUUU